UACGAAGGUGGCAAGCGUUGUUCGGAUUUACUGGGCGUACAGGGAGCGUAGGCGGUUGGAUAAGCCCUCCGUGAAAUCUCCAGGCUUAACCUGGAAAGUGCAGAGGGGACUGUUCAGCUAGAGGAUGGGAGAGGAGCGCGGAAUUCCAGGUGUAGCGGUGAAAUGCGUAGAUAUCUGGAGGAAUACCGGUGGCGAAGGCGGCAUCCUGGACCAUUACUGACGCUGAGGCGCGAAAGCUAGGGGAGCAAACAGGG
rnacentral:rRNA from 1 species